CACAGUACCAUCAGUGUACCACCACAUCAGAUGAGAAAGAAACGAGUCUAACCUACUGGCAGAAGUAACCAGAUUUGGGGCACCUUGAUACCUGGCAGGAAACGGAACACAGCCCUAAAACGUCACUGAGUCGCCACAACGAUCUACAGUCAACAACCUUGUCUGUCCUGUCCAGUCCUAAAGACACUUCGACCUUCUCCGUCUGGUUUGUGAGACAAGAGCUGAACAAAACCA